AACGAACGCUGGCGGCAUGCCUAACACAUGCAAGUCGAACGAGACCUUCGGGUCUAGUGGCGCACGGGUGCGUAACGCGUGGGAACCUGCCCUUAGGUUCGGAAUAACACCCCGAAAGGGGUGCUAAUACCGGAUAAUGUCUUCGGACCAAAGAUUUAUCGCCUUUGGAUGGGCCCGCGUUGGAUUAGCUAGUUGGUAGGGUAAAAGCCUACCAAGGCGACGAUCCAUAGCUGGUCUGAGAGGAUGAUCAGCCACACUGGGACUGAGACACGGCCCAGACUCCUACGGGAGGCAGCAGUGGGGAAUAUUGGACAAUGGGCGCAAGCCUGAUCCAGCCAUGCCGCGUGAGUGAUGAAGGCCUUAGGGUUGUAAAGCUCUUUUACACGGGAUGAUAAUGACAGUACCGGGAGAAUAAGCUCCGGCUAACUCCGUG
rnacentral:rRNA from 1 species